rnacentral:rRNA from 1 species
UACGGAGGGUGCAAGCGUUGUUCGGAAUUAUUGGGCGUAAAGCGCGCGCAGGCGGCUUGCCAAGUCCGAUGUGAAAGCCCAGGGCUCAACCUUGGAUGUGCAUUGGAAACUGGUAAGCUUGAGUAUGUGAGGGGUCAGUGGAAUUCCUGGUGUAGGAGUGAAAUCCGUAGAGAUCAGGAGGAACACCAGUGGCGAAGGCGACUGACUGGAACAUAACUGACGCUGAGGCGCGAAAGCGUGGGUAGCAAACAGG